rnacentral:lncRNA from 10 species
ACAAAGAGGGUGCGUCUGGGCGGCCAGGCUCACCGAAGAUGGAAGGGACAGGCAAGAAGGCAGUGGCUGGACAGCAGCAGGCUAGUGUGACGGCAGGUAAGGUCCCAGAGGCGUGAGCCACUGCGCCUGGCCUCUUUUCCCUUCUUAUCAUUCUUCUUCCAAAGAUCUGCUGUCACUUGUCCCAUUUUCCCCAGUCCUCUGCCACAGCCCCACCUUAGGCAUCCCAGCUCUCCCCUGGACCAUUACAGAAACCUCCUGGCUGGCCUCUUUUUCAGCUUCUCCCAUAUGACCCUUCUUGGUACACAUCUUUAAACACCAGAGUAUAUAGUAUGGCGCUUAAGAGAUUGGCUCUGGAUUUACAAAGACCUGGAUUCAAAUCCAAGCUUAGCCAUUCUCCUUGCUAGAUGACCUUCAGCAAGUUAUCCCCUCUGAGCCUCAGAUUCCUUACCUGUGAAAUGGGAGUGCCAGCCUGGGUUGUUAUAAAGAUUCAAUUAUACUUGACUAAUACAGAUUUAGUAUUGUCCUGGCACAGUAGGUGCUAUUGUAAUUUUUGGGUGUGAUUAUUGAUUAUUAAGCACCAGUUUUGUCGCAGCCGGAAUACACCUGGCGUCUACCCUGUGGAGGGGUUCGAAAUCCAAAUCAGAGCUCCCAAGUGAUGGACCCUCCCACAGCCAGGCCUACAGAACCAGGUGAGCCCCUAAUACUGAGUCUUGGUCCUCCCUGGGGGAGAUAAUAUCUUAUCUGCCAGCAUUGCCUGAGUUUGGGGGUGAUGUCGUUAGUUUCUGCUCUUGGUGGAGGAGAGGCCCAGCUUUCCAAAACAGUGUUGAAUGGAGAGUAAUGGCAACCACAGAGUGAGGGGGGCUGAAACCAUUCAUUCUAGUGCAUUAUCUAAUGCCAGGCAUUGUGCUAGGUGCUAUGGAUGCCUA